AAGUCAUUUCAAAGAGGACAUGUGGUACUUAUGAAACCCAAGAGCUCAUCACAGUGACCAAACAUUGAAGUUCUCCAUAGGAUGCUGUAGUUACCCAGGAAUGCUACUUUCCUGAGCAGAUAUAAAA
ensembl:snoRNA